rnacentral:rRNA from 1 species
AGAGUUUGAUCAUGGCUCAGGACGAACGCUGGUGGCGUGCUUAACACAUGCAAGUCGAGCGGAAAGGCCCUUUCGGGGGUACUCGAGCGGCGAACGGGUGAGUAACACGUGAGUAAUCUGCCCUUGGCUUUGGGAUAACUACCGGAAACGGUGGCUAAUACCGGAUACGACCACUCCUUGCAUGAGGUGGUGGUGGAAAGUUUUUUCGGCCAGGGAUGUGCUCGCGGCCUAUCAGCUUGUUGGUGGGGUAAUGGCCUACCAAGGCUUCGACGGGUAGCCGGCCUGAGAGGGUGACCGGCCACACUGGGACUGAGACACGGCCCAGACUCCUACGGGAGGCAGCAGUGGGGAAUAUUGGACAAUGGGCGGAAGCCUGAUCCAGCAACGCCGCGUGAGGGAUGACGGCCUUCGGGUUGUAAACCUCUUUCAGUACCGACGAAGCGCCGAUGAUGGUGGUGACGGUAGGUACAGAAGAAGCACCGGCCAACUACGUG